rnacentral:rRNA from 2 species
CCAAUAGCGUAUAUUAAAGUUGUUGCAGUUAAAAAGCUCGUAGUUGAAUUUCGGGAUCAAUUUGCUGGUCGUGCCUUCGGUACGCACUGGUAUUAUUGGUUUCUCCUUUCUGAUGAAUCGCGAUGUCAUUAAUUUGGUGUCGUGGGGAAUCAGGACCGUUACUUUGAAAAAAUUAGAGUGUUUAAAGCAGGCUCACGCUUGAAUACAUUAGCAUGGAAUAAUGAAAUAGGACGUUUGAUUCUAUUUUGUUGGUUUCUAGGAUCGACGUAAUGAUUAAUAGGGAUAGUUGGGGGCAUUAGUAUUCAAUUGUCAGAGGUGAAAUUCUUGGAUUUAUUGAAGACUAACUACUGCGAAAGCAUUUGCCAAGGAUGUUUUCAUUAAUCAAGAACGAAAGUUAGGGGAUCGAAGACGAUCAGAUACCGUCGUAGUCUUAACCAUAAACUAUGCCGACUAGGGAUCGGAUGAUGUUAAUUUUUUAAUGACUCAUUCGGCGCCUUACG